AACUAGAUAUGUGGAACAAUCCAGUCGUCAUUCUGAACAUGUAGACAAGUCAACAGAUAUCUAAAGUCUAGUUUAGUUAAGGUUUUACUUUAGUUUAAAAUUAUGGCGGCUCUGCAGUUUUAUUGCAAAAAAGGACAGUAGGAAUGAUUCAUUUUGAGAAAGUGAAAAAUAUUUAAAGCGUCUGGUUGAUCAAUUGCCAGUGGAAAAAGAUUGAAGAAAUUACUGCUGAAUUUGAAAUCGGAGAAAACUAUCCCUAGAGGUCUGAUUCCGGCAUUGAAAUAGCAUGUAAAUGCAAAUUUCGCUACUUGUUCGCUGAGAUUUAUUAGUAAGAAAGCAAAAAACUCGUUUUAAGUUAGAAAUAUUCAUCGACACCCCCCGGAUUUAGCAAUAGAAGGACUAUUUUUCGAAAUGGGUUAAAUUUCCUCAGUGCAAAUAGCCAAUUACAGCCCAGCACUUCCAAUAAGUUUGACUGUGUGUACGAAGAUAACGAUGCUCUUUAACGAACCUAGGUAUGGAAGCGUAUUUCUGUUCUCUAUUCUGCUUAGGGAAACAAAAAUAUGAGCCUUCCAACAGAAGAAGCUGACCGUUUAAUAUGUAGGUAGAUAUAAUUAGGUAUAAGUGGUAGCUUUAGUAUCAGCCUUUACUGGUCCUGAAGGCUGGGUGGACUCCAAAAAAAAUGGGAAUGUUUAACUCAUAUUCUUGAAGUCGUCCGAAAUCAGUUAACUAUAACAACGAAAUCCAUACUAUUCUACCAAACACUAAUAUCUAUACUCUAUUUAAACGUGUAAGUUGAAAGCGAAAAAUAAGUUUUUGAGAUAUAUAAAUAUAAUGAAUUUUAUGUUUAAAUGAUUUAUUGAACGUGUAUUUAACACGUAAUUAAGACUAAUACUAUAUUUUUCGUUUUACUGAAAAAGUGUGCUUAGGUUCUGUUAACUUGCGUUCGCUCUUUUUACUCAUAGUUAAGUUUCUUGGUGGUAAUGGGGCCGACAAACUAAGUCUCAAAGUUGAAAGUUAAAGUGCUGAACACUGCUGAAGCUAUAAAAAUCUAGCUGCUUAAAAAGAGCAUAUAUAUUCAGAAAGUUUCCAUGAUUAAUGAAUAAGCAUAAUGUUUGAAAUACUAUGUCAGUUAGAAUAUAUAGAUUAUUCUCAUUCAAAACAGUGUAUCAGCUACAUAGACUCAACAGAUAAAAUAGCCGCAAAUAAAACACCACUAAUCAAAAAGUAUCGCGAUAUUUUAAGAGAGAUGCAGGCUUGAAAAUGUUGUAAUAAUACACUGUUUUAUAGUCGCAUUAGUUAGCAACAUGUACGUAUUGAUCUAUAUUAUAAGAGCACCAAUCCAUUCUGCACCACACAAUACAGAAUGUUAUCGGAACAUUUAGAAGUCUACAUCUUUCAACAAUAAUGUCAAGUACCAAAUAUAUGGAGUCCUCUAGCUGUAAUGCGAAUAAGCUAGAAUUGUUACUAAUAUAUUUCCAAGGAUGACGUGACUAUGUAAAGCUUUUUGUCUUAUUGACAAAAAUUAGAUUUUUUUUAGUAAGAACUAGGUUAAUCUAUAGAAAAUCUGAACGCUAAAAAUGUUAGUGUUAAUUAGGAAUCGGUUUUCCACCCUGAAAGUUAUCAAAUCGCGGUUUUUUUAGCAUAGUUAAGUCAUCAGCUUAAGUGUUACUACCUAUUGAAGUUACAAUUCCUUUGGAAACUAUUAGUAUAAAGUUUCAAGAUCACUAACGUAAUUAUGAAAUGAUAGGAAGCUUUUUUAUCAGUGGUUGCCGUAUAGAUAGAUAAUUUGCAAUAAAGCUGUAACGGAAUAAUCAGUCUAAGAAAAAACGUGUUACCAGUUAAAAGGUCUACUAAGAGAAAAUGUUAGGUGCACAGCUGUUAAAUACACCAAGUGCUUAUCA